ACAUAUACCUACAAGUCAUAUGGUGUCCAAGGAUAUAAUCGUCAAAUAAAGCUGGGGCUUAGCCAAACAGUGAGAGAAAUUGAAUUCAUUCACAUUUCACGAAAAAUACACAAAAUCGGAUGCCGCCGGGAAAAAAGACCAACGAUAAACUGACUAGAAAUCCACAUCGCGACGCCGUGAUGGCGGAGGAGAGGGAGAAGGCGGCGGCGAUGGCUUUGAUAGAGAGAGCCGUCGAAUCCACGGCAGCGGAGGUGGAUCCGCGCCUCCUCAAGGCGAUCAAAUCCGUGGUGCGUAAUUCCGACUCGGAGCUCCGUUCCGCCUCCCAAACUCUAAUGUCUCUCAUGAAGCGAAACCAUUCGCAGGUACGGUAUCUUGCACUUCUCAUAGUAGAUGAGCUUUUCAUGCGCUCGAAGCUUUUCAGAAGUCUUCUUGUUGAGAACCUGGAUCUAUUCCUUAGCUUAAGUAUUGGUUUUAGAAGAAACCAUCCGCUUCCUCCUCCUGCUUCUGUUGCAUCUCUUCUUCGCUCAAAGUCAAUCGAGUUCUUAGAGAAGUGGAAUGAUUCGUUUGGCAUUCAUUAUCGACAACUCAGAUUAGGUUAUGAUUAUCUCAAGAAUACCCUUCGCUUCCAGUUUCCUAACCUGCAAGCUAACGCAGCCCGCAUACAACAAGAGAGAAGGGAGAGGGAAAUGAGAACAAGAGAUAUCUUACUAAAGAAAUUUGAAUCUUUGAAGGCGAAUUUCUCAUCCAUAAAAGAGGAGAUACAGAUCAAUAUUGAUGAAAUUGAUGAGUGUUUAGGAAUUCUUAGGAUGAAGGAUGAUGACAUGCAGUUUGAUCCAGUAGAUAAUGAAGAAAUGGAAGAGUUUCGUAACUCAGAACUACAUCAAAUCCGUCUUGAUUCUUUGAGAGAGGCGAAAAAAGUCCGAGAGGAUAGUGAAAACGAAGUUGUUAUUGAUGCUCUGAGAGAAUUCUACAAGGUUCUAGUCACUAAGCAUCUCACUGCAGUGCAGGAGUGGAUUUCUGUUCUUAUAAGAGUAGAAGUGGCUGAUCUCAGUUUCAGGGAUUCUGCUUUGAAAAAUCUCAUAGAUAUAAGAAAUCUCAUUCAAUCAACAAAAAGAAAAUGUGAAGAAUCCGGCUGUGAGCUUCGUAAAAUUGUAAAUGCUGAAGAAGAAGAGAUUUGGGAAGAAGGUAUCGUAGAAACAUUUGACAAAGGAAAAGUAGGUCCAAGCUGUUCUAAAACUGCUGAAGCCCCCAGUACAUCAACAGCUCAUAGUACAAGAGACGCAAAACGAGCUACAAAAUUGUCGAAUGUAACCGAGAAAAGAAAUGCUCGGAGUAGUGAAAGUAACAAAGAUCCUGUACGAAGUGAGCUUUUGGCUGAAGCUCCAGUUCUUGAAUGGGGAUCUUUCCUGGACCGCUGGGGACCAAACGAGGAUGUUUUGGCUAACCAAAGGGGACUGGAUGUUGAAGGUCACUGGGGUAGGGUCGACCAGGAUGCAGUUAUACCAGCCGAGAAAAUUGCAGAAUUGAACAUGCGGGCAUUUGUGUAUGAAGAAAAGCCUCUCGAAAUCCAACCAUGUAGAGCUCCUUUGAAGAAUGGUGCACUUUGUCAAAGAAAAGAUUUGAGAGUUUGCCCAUUUCAUGGACCCAUCAUCCUUCGAGACGAUGAAGGGAAACCAAUUAAGGAGAGCUCCACAACAGAAGAGGCAGUCGACCAAAACCAGCCAGAAGAAUCAAGUCCAAAUGCUGACAGUAAUGUGGUGCACCAGCUGCUAAAGCAAGCUGUAAAGAAUGUUCGGGAGAGGGACAGAGAAGAUGCAAAAACGAGAGAAGUAGACAAGCGGGCCUUAAAGAGAGCAAAGCUUGCACAAGUCCGGGAGCACAAUGAAGCUAUGCUGCGAGAUGCUGCAAUUGCUUCAACUUCAAGAUCCUAUUAUGUAGGGGAUGAUACAGAAAUAAGUAAUGGAUCUAGAACUUCUAGUAGAAGCAAGAAACAAACGCUCGCAUCAAUGCUGAAAAAGAAAGAAACUUCUAAAGACAGAUUAGCUCAGAGGUUACUGAACACUAAUGCAAGAGGUGCUACUAUCCAUCAGUUGACAACGGCUGAAGAGGCGAACUACCGGGAAGCAUUUCCAAACCAAUGGUAGAGUAUGCCCAAAAUUUCGUCUCCUGCAGAGCGAACGAGUAAUCGAAGCAGCUCUUCUCAAGGAAAUAUGGCGAGCAUAUAGGAAAAUGUCAAAUCAUUGAAGACUAUGAGAAGCCGGCAACAACAACUAAUACGCACUGUCAAUGAUACAACGGUAGGUAUUGUGUAUUUGUGAAUAAGAAACGGAAUUUUUCAAUGGUAAAAUCGGGGCCAAUUUCACUUAUUAGUUUAUUGAGAGAGAGAGAGAGUAGCCAUAGGGCACAUAGCUUAUAAAGGGCAUGAAGAAUAAUGGAAAUCUUGACGGGAGGAGUAAGGAAUUGUUGUCGAACCAACCAAAGAAGCCAAAGAUGUUUCAAAAA